GGAUUGUGGUUCAUUGGUAGAACACUCACCUAGCAUGUGUGAGGCCCUGGGUUCGAUCCUUAGCACCA
rnacentral:tRNA from 2 species